rnacentral:rRNA from 1 species
UCUUCUACCUCUGAUGGCUUUUUUAUAUCCCAGGAAAAGUAUAUCCAGGAUCUUCUUGCUCGUGCUGCUCUUACUGACGAGCGUGUUGUUGAGACUGCUAUGGAGCUCAAUGUUCACCUCCGUGCUACUGAUGGUGAUCCUCUCCCUGACCCGACGCGUUAUCGUCAUCUUGUUGGCAGUCUUGUCUAUCUAGCUGUCACUCGUCCGGACAUCUCUUAUCCGGUUCAUAUUCUGAGUCAGUUUGUCUCUGCCCCCACCUCGGUUCACUAUAGUCAUCUCCUUCAUGUUCUUCGAUAUCUUCGAGGCACGAUCUCUCACCGUCUAUUCUUUCCUCGCUCCAGUUCUUUACAGCUCCAGGCCUAUUCGGAUGCUACGUGGGCUAGUGAUCCUUCCGAUCGCCGUUCACUUUCUUCUUACUGUGUUUUUCUUGGUGGUUCUCUCAUUGCCUGGAAGACGAAGAAACAACUUGCAGUUUCCCGUUCGAGUGCCGAGGCUGAGUUGCGAGCAAUGGCUCUUUUGACGGCAGAGGUGACUUGGUUACGGUGGUUACUUCAGGAUUUUGGUGUUUCUGUCACUACACCGACUCUGCUUUUAUCUGACAGUACAGGUGCUAUCAGCAUUGCA